AUUGAACGCUGGCGGCAUGCCUUACACAUGCAAGUCGAACGGCAGCACGGGGGCAACCCUGGUGGCGAGUGGCGAACGGGUGAGUAACAUAUCGGAACAUACCCUAGAGUGGGGGAUAACGUAGCGAAAGUUACGCUAAUACCGCAUACGAUCUAAGGAUGAAAGUGGGGGAUCUUCGGACCUCAUGCUCAUGGAGUGGCCGAUAUCUGAUUAGCUAGUUGGUGAGGUAAAGGCUCACCAAGGCGACGAUCAGUAGCUGGUUUGAGAGAACGACCAGCCACACUGGAACUGAGACACGGUCCAGACUCCUACGGGAGGCAGCAGUGGGGAAUUUUGGACAAUAGGGCGAACCCUGAUCCAGCAAUGCCGCGUGAGUGAAGAAGGCCUGU
rnacentral:rRNA from 1 species